CCCCGCACAAGCAGCGGAGCGUGUGGUUUAAUUCGAUGAUACACGAAGAACCUUACCAGGGUUUGACAUGCUGGUAGUAGGGAUCCGAAAGGUGACCGACCCUCGGGGAGCCAGCACAGGUGCUGCAUGGCUGUCGUCAGCUCGUGUCGUGAGAUGUUCGGUUAAGUCCGCUAACGAGCGCAACCCUUGCUGUGUGUUACAUGUGUCACACGGGACUGCCGGUUUUAAACCGGAGGAAGGUGGGGAUGAUGUCAAGUCAGCAUGGCCUUUAUAUCCUGGGCUACACACACGCUACAAUGGCCGGUACAAUAGGUUGCGAAGCCGCGAGGCGGAGCCAAUCCUCAAAGCCGGCCUCAGUUCAGAUUGCAGGCUGCAACCCGCCUGCAUGAAGAUGGAGUUGCUAGUAACCGCAGGUCAGCAAUACUGCGGUGAAUACGUUCCCGGGGCUU
rnacentral:rRNA from 1 species